UGGGGGAUAUUGCACAAUGGGCGAGAGCCUGAUGCAGCAACGCCGCGUGAGGGAAGACGGUUUUCGGGUUGUAAACCUCUGUCUUCGGUGAAGAAACAAAUGACGGUAGCCGAGGAGGAAGCCACGGCUAACUACGUGCCAGCAGCCGCGGUAAUACGUAGGUGGCAAGCGUUGUCCGGAAUUACUGGGUGUAAAGGGAGCGCAGGCGGGGAGACAAGUCAGCUGUGAAAACUAUGGGCUUAACCCAUAAACUGCAGUGGAAACUGUUUUUCUUGAGUGGAGUAGAGGUAGGCGGAAUUCCGAGUGUAGCGGUGAAAUGCGUAGAUAUUCGGAGGAACACCAGUGGCGAAGGCGGCCUACUGGGCUCUAACUGACGCUGAGGCUCGAAAGUGUGGGGAGCAAACA
rnacentral:rRNA from 1 species